CAAACAUCAAAGGAUCAAACAUUUCAAACCCUAAUUCUGCAUAGAGAACACCUUCCCUUUCUUCUCCCACACUCAUAAAAACCCUAAUCGAUAAUUCCAAUGAUGAAAAUGCCGUAACUAUAGGCGAACUAACCUGAAACAUAAAAACACAAGGUCCGACUAUGUCACUGGAACAGAGGAAGGGAACCCAAGCGAGCGGUCCGACCAAUGGGAACUCCGUGGCUUCCUCACCAUCUCAGGCGCAGGUAUCGGAGAACAGGUUGAGGUUGAACCCUAACUUCGGUCACAAGCCGGAGAGCUACGAUGACCUGCGGUUGGACUUCAGUCCCCUGCUGUUCAGCUCGCUUGAGCGCUACCUACCCCCCACCAUGCUCCCUUUACCUCGCGACACAAAAAUCCAGUUCAUGCGUGACAUUCUUCUCCGCUAUUUUCCGGAUGGGGAAAGAACUCGGGUCCAGCGGCACAGAGAAUACAGGCAGAAGAUCAUAUCAAACUAUCAGCCUCUCUAUAAGGAGAUAUAUACUAUGCAUGCAAGAAACUUCUUCGUCCCUUCAUUUCUCAAAGCUAUUGAUGGAAAUACGAAGGAUAGUUUUAGAAGCAUAAUGGCUGAGCCCUCUCCAGGAGUUUAUACAUUUGAAAUGUUUCAGCCACGUUUCUGUGAGUUGUUAUUAGAUGAGGUAGAAAACUUUGAAAGAUGGGUCCAUGAGACAAAUUUCAGAAUCAUGCGACCAAACACGAUGAACAAAUAUGGUGCAGUUCUAGAUGAUUUUGGCCUGGAAACGAUGCUUGAGAAGUUGAUGAAUGAUUUCAUAAGUCCUAUAUCAAAGAUUUUCUUUCCUGAAGUUGGUGGAUCUACACUUGAUUCACAUCACGGUUUUGUUGUUGAAUAUGGAAUUGAUAGGGACGUCGAGUUGGGCUUCCAUGUGGAUGAUUCAGAAGUUACCUUGAAUGUUUGCUUGGGGAAGCAAUUUUCUGGUGGAGAAUUGUUCUUUCGAGGUGUUCGAUGUGAUAAACAUGUGAAUACAGAUUCCCAAUCAGAGUUCUUCAUCAUGGUCGCCACAGACAUGGUGCUAGAGCAACAACUUCUGGAUGUCGGGUCAACUUACUUUUGUGGUGCAGAAGUUCAGUCUUUCGAGAACUGAAGAAAUAUCAGAAGGAAUUUUCUGGCUGGUGUGGAGAGUGUAAACGAGAGAAGAAGGAAAGACAGCGUCUGUCAAUUGAUGCCACCAAGCAGGAAUUAUUGAAUGGCAAAUUUGCCUCCUGAGAAGUUCUGUGCAUGUUUUGGUUUGAAGUUGUAAGAUAUCAUAAUGCUAGCCCUUGUGUAGAGAAGCAGUGUUUCAUCCGUGCUACAUGUUUGCUAGGCUUUAUCGGUAUUACAUCAAGGGUAAGUUGUGCCAUCUGUAACUCUUGUUCUUCGUUGAUAUUUCAUAUUGUAUACCGAGUGGACCUUCUGUUCUUACCUAGCAACUAGUGCAUGUUCUCCUAUUGUCUUUAGCCAACUUGAAAUAUAAAACUGUUUGAUGCCAAGAGACUUUUCUAUGUACAUUACAAUGAUUAGAGCUAAGGAAAGCAAUAUUCUUGCAAAAUUUCCCUGCUUGCAUUAUUGAACUGGCAUUUAUUUUAGUGAAAGUUACAUGCAAUUUGGUCGGAUUUA